UUUUACGUGCUGCAUUGUAGAUGCUAAAACGAAAUAAUAAAAGCGAAAAGUGUAUGAUUGCGCUAGUGUGUUUAUGCAGUUCUCCUGACAAACAGCAGGCGGCGUCGCGGACUGUGAGGAUAAACAAACCACCUCAGGUCGCGCUUUUUGGGGGGUUUCCUUCGUUUUCUCACAGGUCUGCUCGAAAAUACAACAUUUGUAAGCGACAUAAAAUUAAUUAUGCUAAAUCAAGCUAACUGAGGAAUCAUUGAGGAAUCAUUAUUUUGUAUUUAGGUCACACAGGAGCCCUCGGGCAGCAGUAAAGCAUGUCCUCUACAGGAGUGAUUGACACCUUCUCUGAUGGUGAAUGAAGUCUCCAGCUUCUCUGGGCUCCAGCCACAGUAAUAAACCAGCGCUGCGCACUGACGGACGCAAUCAUCUUUUAUUUCCCAUUAAUGAAACAACACCUCAUUUUAUGGCCUACUGAACCGAACAGCAUGGAUCGUGAAUUAAAUUGAGAGGUCUUCAGCCGCAGCGAUGUUAACGUCCCGUGGCUGUUCUCCAGUGAUGAGUCCAGAUGGAGGAUAUGUUGGUACCUGCCCUUUUAUUUUCAUUGCCAGCUCACUCCUCAAGCCCCCGGUACACCUCCACACCAUCUGUGCCAACCUGCCGUCUCUCCGACAGACAGUUGCAGGUUCCGCGGUGCGUGGUAGGCCUACAGCUGUGCAGACAGCCAGCCCAACAUCUGUGUGUCCUGUGGGACAGACGGGAGGGGGGGUGGAUGUCCCGCUGAUCUUCUCAGCUGCUGCUGGUCUUAAACACAGCCAUGGGCCGGCGGUCCUGCGGACAGGAUGAGUUUUGCGAUUGCCCUGUUUUAUUGCAUUGCGCCUGUAGAGACCUGCUGGGUGUGGAUCGGCAUGGACAGCCAAUAGCAGACCGGCAGCAGUGGCCAAUGAGGCAGGGUGGGGUUACUGUGUCAUAAUCACAAUAAAGGAAAGGAGAUCAGAAGAGAUGCAUUACACAGAUCAAAGUGGUUUUAUUCAGCUCUGCACUGGAGGAUGACAUCUGAAUGAAGAUGCUGCUGCACUGAGCAUUCAAUAUAUAGGAUCAAUACAUGGAUUCCCAACAGCAGAUAGCAUCCAUUCCCCAUGCAGAGGAACAUCCGGACAUCCGGCUGGAGUCACUCCGAGAGAGCGAACCGCAGGAGACGUGUCCAUGGGCAACGCCUAUCCGUGGACACAACAUGAGAAACGGCGAGCGAGAGCCGCCCUGAUAUCCGCUCCGUGAUAGCAGCCAACGCGACUCCCCUCGGCUAAACCCGCCGCACCAACCGCGGCUGUCUCGCGUGGGCUUUAACAUUGUUAUUGCUUCCGAAAGCAGAGAAAACCGUGGCUUUUUCUGUCUCGCGACAUCAGCCUGUCUGCUGUGUGAAUCAAUGGCUGCUUCACACGAGCUUACGGUAGCUCGGUUGCGCUGCGGUGAAGCUGCUCGUGCAUGGAGAGAAUCCGAAUGAACAGCGCAGACCGGUCUUUAAUGCCACAAACGCGUCUUCUGAGAAAAAAAUAAGACAGGACUGUGUGUACAGGAAGGGAAUUGUGGGGUCUGUAGUUCGGUAAAUGGUGCAGAGGUUGUGCCGGGCGGCUGUAAUGAGUUGCAGACCAAAAAAAAAAAAAAAAAAACAUCGGACGCGGUGUACGUAAACAAUACGGGCUCCUUAAAAAUCACAGGGCUGUUUGUUUCCGGCUUUAUUUGCCAGCCGAAUGCGUAUUUCAUGCCGCCUGUUGAGUUAAUCGUAGCAGCAGACUUUCUAGUAAGUUGCGUGUGUGCUGGGGAUUUGUGUAAAUGUAUGAGGAUAAGCGAGCGUGUUGCGGUGGCUGAGUCUAAUGAUGUGCUGUGGUUUUGGCAGUGACGAGUGACAGCUCCUCUAUUCUGCAGCAUGCACGGAUCUGUGCUGAAUCUGAGCGCCACUGGCAGAACCUGUGCAGUACAGAAAAAGAGCAAUUUGUCUACAAAUCGCACUGGAGAUGGAGGAGCGGUGGAUAAAGGAAAAAUAGAACGCUUUUGUAAUAUGAUUAGAAUUUACUGUGAAGAGGAAAGAGAGCACGGGAUGAGGUGGAGGCGAGACUAACACAGCCAUGUGCGAAAGGUUGCCUGGGCCAGCUGUUUAUUAGACAUUUAUUGGGAUUUUUCCAAUCGGAAUAAAACAUUUCGGACAAACUGAAUAUUAAAUAAUGCAUUUUAAAAUGAGACGUGUUAUAUUACAUUAUGUUUCAUUCAUGUGAUGUCUUAAACGAGUUUAAGAUCAUUUGUCACGUUAUGCUUUGUGUGUGUUAUAGAGUGCAUAUAUGUAUAAAUGCAUAUAUAUCGGCAAAAAAUUUUUUUUUUUAAUUUUCAAAAAUCAUUGUAGAUUCCAGUUAAUCGCAAACAAAGUGCGGUAAAAAAAAAUACGUCUGACUAACAUAAUAAAAACGUGAUAACAUCAUAAAAACAUGAUUUUUGAAAAAAAAAAAAAGUUUUUGCAAAUGCACUCUCCAUACGUCACACUAUUAAUUGAUUUACUAAAUUUACCCACUAAAAUGACAUUCAGUGUCACAAUUAUGUCAGGCAUAUUUACAACAAAAAUGAAUUUAUGACAUAUUAAAAGAUUAAUUACUUCCACCCCAAA